AGAAGUAUGAAAUAAAAAUUGCUUGUAUCCUCAUUGGGUUAUAAUUGAGCAUCUGUCAAAUUAUACAUGCUUCAAUGUUUCCACUCUGAAUGAGUGCUGGGUAGAAGUGGCUGAUUUUAUAUCCUUUCUUGUUUAGAAGAAAGUUAGGAAUAUUGCUACCAUGAUACUAACAUGAUGAUAUUCAGGUAUUGCCUUUAACUGGCUAUGUGUUGGGGGGUUGAAGUAGAAAUUAUUCUUAGGUACAGAGUUGGCAUAAUCAUCUUGGGUCUACUAAACAUGCUGCCUUCAGUACUGGAUCCAAGGGUCCACUCUUCCUGUGUUUAUUUUUUCCCCCUAAUCUGAAUCACCCAUGUGCCCUUUAUGACAACACACAAAGCUCAUUCCACAAACUUCAACUUGCCUCUAAGCUUUAAAUAAAAUUCCACCAAAAUUUCCAGCACCUACUGCUAGAAGCCUAUGAAUGUGGAAAUAAGGGAAGUCAAGACUUAUGAAACUCAUUAAAAAGGGUCCAAGCGUGCAGAGGACUUAGGUGAAAGACAAACAAAAUGAUCCUCAGAAAGAAGAAGUUCAACACUAAGUUUUAACAUGGGUUGGGUCUUGAUAGCAUGUGGAAGGGGCUUAAAAAAAAAGAAAGAAGAAAAAAAUGAUCACCCAACAGGAACGAUUGAGGAGGAACAAGGCAUGCAACCCCUCUACCCCCAACACUAUCUUUUUCAGAAACUGUAUAAAAGAUGACAGAACUCACAGAUAAGGCUUCUUUCAAGCAAGAAGAGAAAAGAACUUUUAUCUAAGGAAUGCAACUUCUUUUAAUUAUCAGGCCCAGAGAGACACUCCUCCUUCCUGCCUGACUUGAUCUGUGUAUUCGUCUCUUAAAACUGCUUGUUGUUGCUACAUGUAGCUAUAAAUUAACUUAAUAAUGCCACACCGGACACUAUAAACCACGCUGGAUAACCUAACAAUGUAUAGCUAACCACUAAUCAACGUUAUUUCUGUAAGCCAAUGAGAAUUCCUGACAAACAACUUUGUAUCAGCUCAUUCCCCAUCCCCUUUUUUCCCUUUAAAAAUCGACUUGUAGUUGCUGGUAAUCUGGAUGUAUAUUCAGAGACUUAAAUCUAUGCUCCCAGGUUGCUAUUUUCAAGCUUCGGCUAAAUAAGCUCUUUACUUGUAUUCAUUUUGCCUCAGCUUCUUCUAAUUAGGGAGACAUGAGGUAGGAAAAG
rnacentral:lncRNA from 1 species